GAGCGGGGGCGGAGUCGGGAAGGCCACGCCCACCGCAGAGCAGGCCUUCCCCGGGCCUGGCCCCACCCCGGCCCCUCGCCCCCCGCCCCUUUUACGGUUGGCUCCUCCCUCGCAGGCUGGGCUCCUCCCAUUCUGCCCUAGUCCCCGCCCCUUCUCUCGACCCCACCCCUCCCCGACACCGCGCCCCGCCCCCUAGGACUCGGCCCCACUCCCGGGCCGGGCCCCGCCCUCCGCUCCUAGCCCCGCCCCCUCCCACCCCAACGGUCCCGGGGGUCUCGGGGUGCUCUGCUUCUGGCCUCGCGACCCUCGCCCUGCGCCCCGGGUCUCACCCAGGAAGUUCUGUGCCAGCAGUGCCAGCAGUGCCACCCACCCCGAACCUGCAUCGUGGGGUCUGCACUGUCAGAAACGAUGCUUCCCACUGCCAACCCCGAGAGCAACUAAAGCUGUCCAACCAUCGGGACAGAGGUGAGAGAGUGACCGCCGGGAACCCGCUCCUCCCUCAGCAAGGACAGCCGGCUGGGGUUCAGGGGCAGCGAGACCUGGCCAUCCACCGAUGUGGCCGCUGCCCGGGACGUCCCCGAGAGC